rnacentral:lncRNA from 1 species
UGCAGAUCCUUGAAAGGCAAAGUGGCAGGGAUACAAGGCUGUUCACAACAACCCUGCCCCAGGUCCCCCCAGUCCCAAAUAGCCUGGGGGAACAAAUUAGCACUACAGAGGCUGCCCUCCUGGGAAGACAGACUUCCUUUACCAGUCCCUUUUCCCCAUCACAACCCAGGGUAAGGGAACAUACACACACACACAGACAUGCUGCGCACACAGAGAGGAUAGAAACCCAGUGAAAGCGGCAGGGACCCAGCAGGGACCCACCAGGGAUCUGACUGGAGCAGAGCUAAGUGAGCAAGACUGAUCAGUUGGUUCACAGUAAGCUCUUUCCCAUUGUUUGCAAACAAUGGAAAAAGCUGUUACCGGGAAAUCCUGCACAGUGACCACAGUCACACUUUGGGAGGAAGGGAGAAGAAUCCCUAAACCAAAUUCAGAGACUACAUCAGAUUCUGCUAGCUAGAAAGGGGGGGUUCUUGAGACAGGGUGAGUUCAAGAUUUGAGCACAAAGGAAAAGACAGACUGGAGGCAGAGAUCUGGUGAUAAACUAAUCAGAAAAUAUCUGAAGCAAGAAUAUGGAGUUUAACCCAGCACAAAGAAGUCAUCUCAUUGAGAGUAUCUAGACAAAGGAACAUGGCAAGAUAACACUCGUCUGAAGCCAGUGAUGAUUCUGGCUACCGCCGUUAAGAUGUUUAAUUCAAAGAUUAUAUGUAUAUGCCAGAGUAGCAAAGUUACUUUGAAAUGGCCGGAGGCAAAAAGCAGAAGGCAGGGUGCAGAGUGAGCCCAGAGAAACAGAUGGAAGACAGGCCACAUGAAGACCUAUGCUGGAAAGAUCCAACUCAUGCUAAGGAGACCUACCUUCUGAUUGCCCUGGUGGGUCAUUAGCAGAGAAAUGAAUUCACAUGAAGCAAUUCUAUAAAGGAGAGCAGUGGAGGUGAAAAUAUCACAGAAAAGGAGAGCAAUUUGACUAGUAAACUCAUCGAGUUGAGACAAAUGUGAAAACUCAUUACAACCUGAAUUUCUCACCCAGCUCAGUUUCUCCUCUCUUUUAAACUUUCUAAUAGAAAAAGUUGAGUUCCCAUUAUUGCCACCUCCACUGUUUGCCCUCACUUCCAUCAAAAAAUAAAUAAAUUAGAGAUACCUCUUUUCCCCCAU